GGGGAAUAUUGCGCAAUGGGCGAAAGCCUGACGCAGCCAUACCGCGUGUGUGAAGAAGGGUUUAGGCUCGUAAAGCACUUUAAGUAGGGAGGAAGGUCUGUAACUUAAUACGUGCAGAAUGACGU
rnacentral:rRNA from 1 species